GUGGGGAAUAUUCCGCAAUGGACGAAAGUCUGACGGAGCAACGCCGCGUGAGUGAUGAAGGUUUUCGGACUGUAAAGCUCUGUUGUUUAGGACGAAAGUGCCUGUUGCAAAUAGUUACAGGUAUUGACGGUACUGAACGAGGAAGCCACGGCUAACUACGUGCCAGCAGCCGCGGUAAUACGUAGGUGGCAAGCGUUGUCCGGAAUUAUUGGGCGUAAAGAGCAUGUAGGCGGGAAUCUAAGUCUGUUGUGAAAAUGCGGGGCUCAACCCCGUAUUGCGAUGGAAACUGGGUUUCUUGAGUGCAGGAGAGGAAAGGGGAAUUCCCAGUGUAGCGGUGAAAUGCGUAGAUAUUGGGAGGAACACCAGUGGCGAAGGCGCCUUUCUGGACUGUGUCUGACGCUGAGAUGCGAAAGCCAGGGUAGCGAACGGGAUUAGAAACCCUGGUAGUCC
rnacentral:rRNA from 1 species